rnacentral:rRNA from 1 species
CAUCUAAGCAUGAAGCCCCCCUCAAGAUGAGAUUUCCCAUAGCGUAAGCUAGUAAGAUCCCUGAAAGAUGAUCAGGUUGAUAGGUUCGAGGUGGAAGCAUGGUGACAUGUGGAGCUGACGAAUACUAAUAGAUCGAGGACUUAACCAUAUAA